UAUUUAUCUAUGUGGUUCUUACGUGGAUGACUUUGAACACACAAAAGAAGGAUUAUCGACCAUUGACACACAAGCUCAGUUUUGGAUGCCUUAAAUUCACACACAGUUGGGAAGGAUUGCUGCAAGAAAGUUUCAAUGGAGGAUCUAAGAUGCUGGCAGAGAUGUGUAUUUUGCAAUGUGACCUAGCCCAUGAGAUUUAGCUGCCCGACCCAUUGAAGAUUUCAGAAUUUUAUAACCAGCAUUUAAGAUCAUUGCUUUUCCAUUCUCCAAUGGGCUCAUAGGUGAAGAAACUACAGAAAACUGCCAGCAAAAGAAGACAAAAGGCACCAAGCCCAUGGAGAAAGUAGAGCCAUCUGAUUCCUGUGCACCCUCAGGCAGUUGACCAAGAAAAAGGAUUCCAUUAUCCAUAUUAGCCAUUCGGAAAGUAUUUCUCCAGGGCAGCUGGAGCUAACCCACUUGAAAAAGUGAUGGUGCUUUUGUGCCAAUGUUGUGAAUAAUAGCUGCGUGGAAAAUCAACCGAGCCUUCAAUAGUUAAUAGACACAAAAAUCUGGAGUAACUCAGUGGGACAGGCAGCAUCUCUGGAGAGAAGGGUUGAGAAGGGUUCAACAGCCUGAAGAAGGGUUGAGACCUGAAACGUCAUCCAUUCCUUCUCUCUAGAAAUGCUGCCUGCUGAGUUACUCCAGCUUUUUGUGUCCAUCUUCGGUUCAAACCGACAUUUGCACUUCUUUCCCACACAGUUA